CAGCAGCCGCGGUAAUACGUAGGUCCCGAGCGUUGUCCGGAUUUAUUGGGCGUAAAGCGAGCGCAGGCGGUUAGAUAAGUCUGAAGUUAAAGGCUGUGGCUUAACCAUAGUACGCUUUGGAAACUGUUUAACUUGAGUGCAAGAGGGGAGAGUGGAAUUCCAUGUGUAGCGGUGAAAUGCGUAGAUAUAUGGAGGAACACCGGUGGCGAGAGCGGCUCUCUGGCUUGUAACUGACGCUGAGGCUCGAAAGCGUGGGGAGCAAACAGGAUUAGAUACCCCUGUAGUCCCUGUCUCUUAUACC
rnacentral:rRNA from 1 species